rnacentral:rRNA from 1 species
UACGAAGGGGGCUAGCGUUGCUCGGAAUUACUGGGCGUAAAGCGCACGUAGGCGGAUCAGUAAGUUAGAGGUGAAAGCCCAGGGCUCAACCCUGGAACUGCCUUUAAUACUGCUGGUCUGGAGUCCGAGAGGGGUGAGUGGAAUUCCGAGUGUAGAGGUGAAAUUCGUAGAUAUUCGGAAGAACACCAGUGGCGAAGGCGGCUCACUGGCCCGGUACUGACGCUGAGGUGCGAAAGCGUGGGGAGCAAACAGG